rnacentral:misc_RNA from 1 species
GUAGGUUUGCCUCUGUGUCGUAGAUCACCUUUUCUCAACUGCUGAUCAAAGACAUGAGCUGCUGUCGGGAGCUCGAGCACUCUCUGAACGAUCUUUUGAUCGAUUCAGUUUCCGUGCCUUUUGACUUCCCCAACUUGUGGAAAGAAGUUGCGAGCAGGUGUGGUAGCAUUUUGCAGUGGGAAACGAUUUUUAGAGGCAAGGGCGCUGCACAAGACAUGUGCAACACCGUGAUGGAUGCCUACCUCCUCGUUUACCAUCUUAUCUCACAUCCGUGCAGCAAUACGCCCCUGGUGAAGGUAAACGGGAAGGAAAUUUGGGAGGGCCAACAGAUCAUGGCUGUGUACUCCCUUCAAGGUGCAAUUUUUGAGAAGCACUUGCUGAACAACGUGAUGCCUGCUUUCUCUCAGGCUAGCAACGGCUCCACCAUUCAGACGUAUGUCCGCUCAUGGCGUUCUUUUCUGGUAGCCGUCGUCAACAUCAAAACCGUCUUUUCGUCGCUCGCCGACAAAUGGUCUCUGCUGGGUUUGGAGGACAAUCCGUUGGACAGGACGGAAGACAUUGCUUUGAGGAAGUGGUCGAGCGUAGUGCUGACACCAAGGAUGGUUUCCCAGCUCCGCAAAGAGCUCCGCGCACUUCUUGCAGAUGAGCGUGCCGGCCACGGUGCUCCGGAUCUAUCCUUUGCCGUGGAAAUCAAAGACGAACUGUCGAUGCUUCCCGACUCAAACUACUAUCGAAGUGUAGUAGAGGUGGACUAUAUUCGCGACAUGUGCGAUUACUGUUGGUCAAAAGUCCGCGGCGUCGUUGAGUCUGAUCUCUUCACCUAUGCAAAGCUGUGUCUGGGGCUGAUUGAGGAGGAGGUGAAGCGCGCAGAAAGGUUCCUCACAUCCAAGGACCACGCUGUGGAUCGGCUGGUGGAAACAUUGGUGGACGAUCGCAUAUCUGCCUUCGAGCGCGGCAGGCUUUCUCAGUGGCUUGGCUCGAUUGGUCAACGCGAGACAGACGAGAAACUGCAGACGGUGUUUCACCUUCUGUGGUGGAGCAAGUGUAAGGGCGCACCUCUCAUGGAGGGAAUGUUCAAAGAGAGCGUAGCACAGCACACAUCUACUGCGCUGACUGGAACAGUACGCGCUGCAGGCGAAGGCACUGACGUGUACGCCGCCGUUAUCGAGUGCUUUGCCUCUAUUAUUCGAAAGUACCGCGAUGUCGUUAUGACCAUUUUCGACUACAACGGCUGCAUGCUGGAGGCGAUGGACGAUGGGCUUCGGUGCGGCUUUACGAGUCUGCGUUCCUUUAACUACAAAAAACUUGCUGACCGGCUGGCAGCGUUCUCCAAUGCAAUUCUGGGGAACACAGGGUCCACGAAGCUUCGUCUCGAGGAUGUGGUGAGCGUGUACUACUUUUUGCCGGACGCCGAAAACGCCGCGAAGGAUGUCUUCCUCGUCUCUUACCAGAAGCAUCUCGCUAAGCGACUGCUCUUGCAUCACUAUGACGAGGCGAGAGAGCAGCGUUCGAUGGAGCAGCUGGUGCAGAUUAAACAAAGCCCUAUCCUCUUCUGCUGCCGAAGUAUGCUGAAGGCGACCACCACGCAGAGCAUCUACGUCGGCGCUUCGAGCGUGAAUGGGGUGAAGGUGAAUCCCGCUUUGCUCUCGAGAGGAACUUGGCCGAGCCUUCCGCACACCUUAGCGAGUUCCGGUGUAUCUGCUUCCGUACUGCGUCAGAUCGAAGGAGCACAGCGCAUCUGCAGCACGCGGCGGCAUGGGCAAAGGAUCGAGUUUUCGGCGCCCUACUCCUCUGCCGUGAUACGGAUGCUCCGACCAGCAGGGUCGACUGCGGCGGGAGACUCGGUCCAGUUGAAGGUUUCGUUCUUGCAAAUGUGCAUCAUUGAUCACUUCAACGCGAAAUCGCAGUGCACUGUGCAAGAGCUAUGCGAAUCCCUCCAAGUAUCGGAGGUGGAGUGCGCCUUUGCCUUGAAUCCGUUGGUAAGUGCCACAGUUCUCAAGCUUUCGGGAGCAAUGGAACCGAGCUCCAUCGUAUCGCUUGGCCCAUGUGAUAGCUCGAUUGGUGAUGUGAUCAACGUGAUGCCGCUGGAGUUUCACAGCUUCGCUCACCGCGUCGUUGUCAAAUCUCACGAGCAGCGCACGCUUCAGAGCGCGGCAAAGGCCAAUCCUCAAAGGAUGGAGAGCCAAGUUGUGCAUACGCUGAAGCAAAGUGGCUCGAAGACGGCCGAGGAGCUGAUGAAAUUUCUCACCUCUGCGAUGCAGCCUCUCAUCGUGUCGCGCGGCGAGCUGAAGCGCGUGCUGGAAAAGCUCAUUGAGCGCGGUCUUCUUGUCCGAGAUGACUCUCAGCGCAAGUUCGUGUACUCGCCGUAGGAACGGUGGCCUUGGACCAUCGGUGGCUACCGGGUCCAUGAGUCUCAGUGCCACGCACGUAGCCUUGUUAGCAGCGGAGAUGCUCGUGCAGAGUGCAAGGUGCUGCAGCACACCACUUUCCCCCUUUUUUGUGAGAAGGAUUGGUGAGGUUUCGACGAACUCCUGCGCUCGGUUGAGUUGGCACCUUUUUUUUUCCGCUUUGUCUGUUUCCGCUAUGGCGGGAGCGGGGCACUUCGACUUUGCAUUCUCUCCAAAUUCGUUUGCUCCCUGCCUGAAACUACUGUUGUCAUCGUUCCCGUUGUUGCGCAGUGCUACCGUGAUCGAAUGACAUCUAUUGAAUUCUUCUACUUAUUACUGCGAACAGUUUUCUAGCAGUGAUCACC